rnacentral:rRNA from 1 species
AAUGAACGCUGGCGGCAUGCCUAACACAUGCAAGUCGAACGAAGGCUUCGGCCUUAGUGGCGCACGGGUGCGUAACGCGUGGGAAUCUGCCCCUUGGUUCGGAAUAACAGUUGGAAACGACUGCUAAUACCGGAUGAUGACGUAAGUCCAAAGAUUUAUCGCCGAGGGAUGAGCCCGCGUAGGAUUAGGUAGUUGGUGUGGUAAAGGCGCACCAAGCCGACGAUCCUUAGCUGGUCUGAGAGGAUGAUCAGCCACACUGGGACUGAGACACGGCCCAGACUCCUACGGGAGGCAGCAGUGGGGAAUAUUGGACAAUGGGCGAAAGCCUGAUCCAGCAAUGCCGCGUGAGUGAUGAAGGCCUUAGGGUUGUAAAGCUCUUUUACCC